rnacentral:rRNA from 1 species
AACGAACGCUGGCGGCAUGCCUAACACAUGCAAGUCGAACGAAAACUCCGGGUCUUGUGGCGCUCGGGUGCGUAACGCGUGGGAAGCUGCACUUGGGUUCGGAAUAACUCACCGAAAGGGGUGCUAAUACCGGAUAGUGUCUUCGGACCAAAGAUUUAUCGCCUGUGGGUGGGGCCGCGUUGGAUUAGCUAGUUGGUAGGGUAAAAGCCGGCCAAGGCGACGAUCCAUGGGUGGUCUGAGAGCAUGAUCAGCCACACUGGGACUGGGACACGGCCCAGACGGCUACGGGAGGUAGCAAGGGUGAAUAAUGGACAAUGGGCGAAAGCCUGAUCCAGCAAGGCCGCGAGAGUGAUGAAGGCGUUAGGAUCGUAAAGCUCUUUUACCCGGGAUGAUAAGGACAGAACCGGUAGAAUAAGCCCCGCCAAAUACCGU